AAACCAACCGGGAUUGCCUUAGUAACGGCGAGUGAAGCGGCAAAAGCUCAAAUUUGAAAUCUGGCACCUUCGGUGCCCGAGUUGUAAUUUGRAGAGGGCAACUUUGGGGCYGUUCCUGGUCUAUGUUCCUUGGACCAGGACUUCCUAGAG
rnacentral:rRNA from 1 species